rnacentral:rRNA from 2 species
UAGGGAAUCUUCGGCAAUGGGGGCAACCCUGACCGAGCAACGCCGCGUGAGUGAAGAAGGUUUUCGGAUCGUAAAGCUCUGUUGUAAGAGAAGAACGGAUGUGGGAGUGGAAAAUCCAUGUCGUGACGGUAUCUUACCAGAAAGGGACGGCUAACUACGUG